rnacentral:rRNA from 1 species
CUUGAACGCUGGCGGCAGGCCUAACACAUGCAAGUCGAGCGGUAACACAGAGGAGCUUGCUCCUUGGGUGACGAGCGGCGGAUGGGUGAGUAAUGCCUGGGGAUCUGCCCGAUAGAGGGGGAUAACUACGGGAAACUGUAGCUAAUACCGCAUAAUGUCUACGGACCAAAGUGGGGGCUCUUCGGACCUCAUGCUAUCGGAUGAACCCAGGUGGAUUAGCUAGUUGGUGAGGUAAUGGCGCACCAAGGCGACGAUCUCUAACUGGUUUGAGAGAAUGACCCGUCACACUGGAACUGAGACACGGUCCAGAAGCCUACGGGAGGCAGAAGUGGGGAAUAUUGCACAAUGGGCGCAAGCCUGAUGCAGCCAUGCCGCGUGUGUGAAGAAGGCCUUCGGGUUGUAAAGCACUUUCAGCGGGGAGGAAGGGUCGCUAGUUAAUACCUAGUGGCAUUGACGUUACUCGCAGAAGAAGCACCGGCUAACUCCGUGCCAGCAGCCGCCGUAAAAC